rnacentral:misc_RNA from 1 species
AAGUCGUAACAAGGUCUCCGUUGGUGAACCAGCGGAGGGAUCAGUCCAAAACGUAUAAAACGUUAACACCGUUUUACAAACCCAACCGUGCUCUUUGUUUGUUACUGCCAUUUUUAGAGGUCUUGGGCACUGACUACAUAUAUAUAUAUAUAUAUGCGAUGUCAAAAUUCUAAACCUCUACUUGUAUUAACCCUAUUAACCCUUUUUUUUACUGUUACAACUGAUUUGGGUGCUAACGGAGCAAUCUGAUAGUACCAAGUAUAAAAUAAAUAUGAUACAACUCAUGCCGGCGGAUACCUUGGUUCUC